rnacentral:rRNA from 1 species
CAGCUCAAAUUUGAAAUCUGGCUCUCGGGCCCGAGUUGUAAUUUGUAGAGGAUGCUUUUGAUGCGGUGCCUUCCGAGUUCCCUGGAACGGGACGCCAUAGAGGGUGAGAGCCCCGUCUGGUUGGAUGCCAAAUCUCUGUAAAGCUCCUUCGACGAGUCGAGUAGUUUGGGAAUGCUGCUCUAAAUGGGAGGUAUAUGUCUUCUAAAGCUAAUUACCGGCCAGAGACCGAUAGCGCACAAGUAGAGUGAUCGAAAGAUGAAAAGCACUUUGAAAAGAGAGUUAAAAAGUACGUGAAAUUGUUGAAAGGGAAGCGUUUAUGACCAGACUUGGGCUUGGUUAAUCAUCUGGGGUUCUCCCCAGUGCACUUUUCCAGUCCAGGCCAGCAUCAGUUUUCGCCGGGGGAUAAAGGCUUCGGGAAUGUGGCUCUCUCCGGGGAGUGUUAUAGCCCGUUGCGUAAUACCCUGGCGGGGACUGAGGUUCGCGCAUCUGCAAGGAUGCUGGCGUAAUGGUCAUCAACGACCCGUCUUGAAACACGGACCAAGGAGUCGUCUUCGUAUGCGAGUGUUCGGGUGUCAAACCCCUACGCGUAAUGAAAGUGAACGCAGGUGAGAGCUUCGGCGCAUCAUCGACCGAUCCUGAUGUUCUCGGAUGGAUUUGAGUAAGAGCAUACGGGGCCGGACCCGAAAGAAGGUGAACUAUGCCUGUGUAGGGUGAAGCCAGAGGAAACUCUGGUGGAGGCUCGCAGCGGUUCUGACGUGCAAAUCGAUCGUCAAACAUGGGCAUGGGGGCGAAAGACUAAUCGAACCUUCUAGUAGCUGGUUUCCGCCGAAGUUUCCCUCAGGAUAGCAGUGUUGAACUCAGUUUUAUGAGGUAAAGCGAAUGAUUAGGGACUCGGGGGCGCUAUUUAGCCUUCAUCCAUUCUCAAACUUUAAAUAUGUAAGAAGCUCUUGUUGCUUAAUUGAACGUGAGCAUUCGAAUGUAUCAACACUAGUGGGCCAUUUUUGGUAAGCAGAACUGGCGAUGCGGGAUGAACCGAACGCGAGGUUAAGGUGCCAGAGUAGACGCUCAUCAGACACCACAAAAGGUGUUAGUACAUCUUGACAGCAGGACGGUGGCCAUGGAAGUCGGAAUCCGCUAAGGACUGUGUAACAACUCACCUGCCGAAUGUACUAGCCCUGAAAAUGGAUGGCGCUCAAGCGUCUCACCCAUACCUCGCCCUCAGGGUAGAAACGAAGCCCUGA